GUUUUGUCUCGGCUCUUCCUUUGUGAGAAGGGCGAUAGGAAUUUAAGAAGGUGCUGCCUGCUCAAGCAGCUGCCGGUGGAGUUACCUGCAGGGCUACGAGAACACCUCCUGAAGGUGAUCCUUGUGCUGUAAUGGCCCUGCAGCCAUUGUGUGAUGGGGAGAGCCGCUCUGCAGCACGGACUGUGCAGUGGAGAGGCCGUCCCCAUGGACAGAGCCCCUUAGCUUAGGCUCAGAGCACACAGCCCGGGCUGGGAAAGCUGUGCUGCAGGUCCCCUGCGCAUGUCAUCUUCAAGACACGGCCAUAUGUGUACCUGCCUUACAGCCGAUGCCCUCCUGUACACAUCGGGUUACCUCUGAUUUCCUAUUUCUGCAAACGCACCCAACAAGGUGUGCUGCUCACAGAAAGGGGCCUAUUAGGAGAGCAGAGAAAACAGCGGUCCCUCCGGGAUGGCAUUUGGGAUACAUCACCUGGGGGUAUUAGAGCUUAAUCGGUCGGUUUUGAGCUGGCGUGGGACAAAUUGGGUGAGGGAAUAACCCCAAACUGGAUUGAUUCUGUGGGCUUGAUCUUAUUGUACACCUGGCGCAGCAGCCUGGAGCUGUGAGUCUUUCUGGAAAGCUCUUACCUUUCUGGAAGAAAAGGACAAUGACACCUUGAAUUCGAUCGCUGCUGUCGGGAUGCCUCUGCCCUGUUCUCAAAGCAGGACAGCAGCCCUGGGCUUUUACAGGCACUGCCUUCUGCCAUCCCUUUCCAGGUCUCUGUGGUGACACAGAAACACUUCGGCUCCGGGAAAGAAGGUAAAGAUGGAUGGGAGGGGAGGGGGUUGGCAGGAGGGAGAUAUUCAGUUCUGGGGCAGAUGGGUGCGUGAUGCCAGUGGAGCAGUCACUUUGUGUGCUGGGGAUGCCUGCAUAGGACUGCUGAGACCAGCACUGCACAGGGAGUGCUGCCAGGCCCUUCCCCCGUACCUCCCCCAGAUGGGAAUUUCUCCUCCUUCCCAGGCUGCUCCAGUGCUUCUGCAUCCUUUCCACUGCAAAGCUCUUUUCCUACUACCCGAAUGAUUUCUGCUUCAGGUUCAGCCCGUUCCUACCUAUAUCGCUAUAGGAAGGCACAUCGUCCCCUCCCCUUACUGCAGCUUCUUAAGCACUUGACUGUUAACAUCUUUCCCUUAACCUCUUUCUUUUUAAGUUCACCCUUUGAUAUCACUCAUCUGCCCACAUUUGUUUCUCCUUAUCCCAUCUGCAACCCGUCCGUGUAUUUCUCAGCAUAUCCCAAACCCGGGGCCCUCCUGGCACAUGCAGGGGGAUGCAGGACAGCUCCAUCUGCUACGUGGUGAUUCGAGAGCACAGACAUGUAUUUUUUUUUUUUGUUUUAAUCUGUCUUUAAUGACUGAUGGCAGGAUUUGUAUAGGAUGAAGCAGUCAUACGUAAAGCUGCUCCCUGGCCAGCUGGCCUGUGAAUGAGGGAUGGGAACCGGUGCUUUGUGUACUGCGAGGAAGGGGUGCUUGGGGGGGGGGGGGGGGUGAAGGCCAACCUUCCUCCUUGCCCUCAGCUUGGAUCCUGCUGUGCUUUCCCCUUGUGAGGGAAAUUGUGUAGCUCUCCUGAGUGUGGGGCAACCCCACAGAGAAAAUAAAGUGGCAAUUUGCCCUUUGUGGUGACUUAGUCAUAGAAUGGCCUUACCCAACCCCUCUGUUACAAAGCGCAGUUCCUAUUUCCCGGGGUUUUUCCAUCAGAAAACAGGACUUGGCUCCACUAAAGCCACGAGUGGCCCAGGAGUGCAUCUGCUCUUGGAUAAAUCCUCCUUCUGAAUAUGUGCCCGGUGCUGGAGGUGGCUCUGUGGCAGGAUGUCAGGGCUGUGGCUGACAGUGCAGCUCUGGGGCUGCAGGGUGUAUGGCCCGGGGAGCUGCCCCCAGCUGAACCCGGGCACAGUGAGACCCCAUCUGGGGGCCACUGCAGGAUGGCAGGCAGCCAGGUCUCAUGGGCUGCCUUUGGCACAGAGGUGGGACUGCAUCCCUGAGCACGUGGGAUCCCAUUGCUGAGCACAAAGCACGGUGGAUGAGAGAGGGGUAUUUUUUUAUGGACGUACAUUGGCCGUCAUCUGGCAUUUGGGUCCUGGCUUACCUAAACAAGCAGGGGUCGGUAUACGAGAAGGAGACGUGCAAAGCGAGACCAUGGCUGCUUGUCCCCAGCCUUUCCUGCUUCUCCCUCCCCCAGCUGCAGCUGAUCUGACUCGCUGCCUUGUGCUCUCAUCUCUUGUGACUGCAGAAUGUAUGCAAUCGUGACAAGCUCAAUGCAGCACAGCAGACUCUGGGCUCACGGCUGUGUAGCCACGCUGCAGUGGGGAGUGCGCUCAGGGCAAUCCUACAGAGCCCCAGCUGCAGCCUGGGGACACUGGAGAAAUGUGCGUGCUUGCGUUCGAGGGCACUUUGUGUGUGAGAAAGAAGGUUUAGUCUGAGACACCUGACCUCUUUGAUUUCCCUCUUGUCUUGGAAGGGGGACCAUAGGAAUCUCGGGAGAGGAGGGAGUGUUUGUGCAUCAUAGUAGUCCCUUGUGCUGCAGAGUCCAUGCGCUCCCUCCUCUGCAAACCUGGACAGGAUUCUGGUCCAGGAGCAGGAGCUGGCUGGCACCGUCUUGACACAGUGGGUCUCGAUCCAUGAUCCCCUUCACACCCCAGUGUCGGGAACCAGGCCCAGUGCAGAUUGGCCCUGGCAGCUCCCCAUUACCUGCAUCUUGCAGAGCUGUCCUUGGCUUCUUGGUGGCCCCUGGAGGGAGCCAGCAGCUUUCCUGCUGCACUGCAGAUUGCCUCGUGGCUUGCUCCCUUCUGUCCCUGAGGCCGUUUUUGGUUUAGAGGGGCCUGGCUCCCUGAACUUGGCUCCUUAUCCCUCUAUACCUAUUUUGCAAAGAACCAGGCAUUUCAAGAGCAGAAUAGCCCCUUGACUGGCAAUCUGCCCCCCAGUGUGCACCAGAGAGGCCAGGGUGGUGCAGAUGUCCCGACCCCAGCAGUGAGCACAUCACCACUUAGCCCCUGAUUUAUGGUGGGGGCAAAUGAGGUCAAAAAUGUGUCCUGCAGCCUUGCAGUGCUUGACGGACGUGAGAGCAAGCAGGUCUCCAACACCUUGCUGCUUGCGCUGAUCUACUGGGAAAGGGAAUGGGGAAAAUCCAGCUUCUCUUACACACCUCUGUGCCUCAAGAGCCCUCCUGGUGAGUUUGGGGCUGCCCGUGCCUCACAGCCACUCGCCCCAAGCGUGUCUGCAGUUACACGAUACCUGGCCUUGCUGGAGCAACGCUCAGGAUCAGGUCCGCAGGAGGAGCGGAUUGCCGCACCGCUGGAUGUAGCCGUAUGGGCAUCGCGUGCUUCCUCACUGCUGCCUCUUCCCAGGGCUGCAGGCAACACCCGUUCCCAACUGCUCGUUCGUGCGACGCGUCUGCUGCAGAACAGCCUCGAGAGCUGGGCAGCUCCCUUCCUCACCGCCACGCAGUGUCCUCCGGUGCUUCUUCCCUUUCCUCGUCCCUCUUCCCCCAGGAGCCCUCCCUAAAGGCGCCUGCUUUUCACAGGCGAGCGUGAAACCAAGCAAUCCCGCAAGGUGCAGUAGGGGUGUUCUUGCCCCUCUCCUAAACAAGGAAAACGCUCUGCUACCGGCAUCUCUGUCGCAGACAAGGUGGUGCGUCCCACGUCAGCCACUGCAGGGAUGGAGGAUGGAGCUGUCUAUGGAUUCACUUCCUCGGACAGACGCAAUGCUGAUAAAAGUGGAGCAGAGAUGAAGAGGGGAGGGGGUGCGGAGGGUGUGCGGCUGAAUCCAGCUACACGGCCAAAUAAUGAGAUAUUCCCUUGCGUGAGUACAGCGCUCAGGAGGCUCAGGACUUGGGGCUCGGCGUGUCUUUAGGAAGCUGAAAACACGAGUCUUACAAAGAGAUUUAUUGAGGUCUGAAGGCUAACCUACGAACCGCCGCGGGGAAACUGCGGAAGGGGCCGCGUCUCACCUUGAGGCUGCGGUGACGGCGCGGCGGCGGAGGUGGCACCGGGGCGGCUGUGAUGCUGCAGCCCCUCACGUCGCUGCACCCAUUCGGCUUUCGGAGAAGCAAAAGCGGGCUCGUGAUUUAAUUCUGCGCGUUGUCGGGGUGCAAAGGGGACGGUACCACGGCCCCGCGUUGUGACCCCGCAGCGCAGCGGGCUGCGCUCUGAGCCUCUGCACAAGAAAAGAGUGAGGCUGCGAGCAGGAAAAGAGCGUGGCAAAGGGGUAACACGGCAAAAAGCCCCCUCGCCAUUCCAAAAAGAAAAAAAAAAAGAAAAAAAAAGAAAAAAAAAUAGAAAAAAGCAACCCUCGGUGUGGUGGGGGGUGUUUUUUUCGGGGACCUUCAGCACUGCAUCGCGCUCCUCUCGCCGCUUUCCCAGCACCGCUCCGGAGGUCCCGCAGCUCGGCAGAGGGCCCGGCGCAGGCACCCCCUCCCCGUGCCGCCGUGCCCGAUCUCCUGUGCCCUUUGUAAGGCGGCAGCCCCCAGCCGCAGUGCGGGAGCGGGGCCUCGGGGCCCCCGGCCGCCUCCCCCGGCCCCUCGGGCCCUGCCCGCAUUGUUCGCGCUGUUUGUCAAAGGGCCGGGGAUGCUCCAUAGAUCGCUCCGUGGCUGUUGUUAAGUGUAAUUAGAGGGUGUAUGUCCCCAAUUUCCAUGAAAAUGAAGCUGUGAGGCUCC
ensembl:lncRNA